rnacentral:rRNA from 1 species
CCUACGGGAGGCUGCAGUGGGGGAUAUUGCACAAUGGGGGAAACCCUGAUGCAGCGACGCCGCGUGGGUGAAGAAGCGCCUCGGCGCGUAGAGCCCUGUCAGCAGGGAAGAAAAUGACGGUACGUGAAGAAGAAGGCGCGGAUAACGACGUGACAGCAGCCGCGGUAAUACGUAGGGGGCAAGCGUUAUCCGGAUUUACUGGGUGUAAAGGGGGCGCAGACGGCGAUGCAGGCGAGGCGUGAAAGCCCGGGGGCCAACCCCGGGACUGCUCUUGGAACUGCGUGGCUAGAGUGCAGGAGGGGCAGGCGGAAUGCGUGGUGUAGCGGUGAAAUGCGUAGAUAUCAGGAGGAACACCGGUGGCGAAGGCGGCCUGCUGGACUGCAACUGACGUUGAGGCCCGAAAGCGUGGGGAGCGAACAGGAUUAGAUACCCCUGUAGUC